rfam:Canis lupus familiaris chromosome 10, whole genome shotgun sequence.
GAGUUUUUGAUGUCGCAGAUACUGCAUCAGGAACUGAUUGGAUAAGAAUGGGUCACCAUCAGUUCCUAAUGCAUUGCCUUCAGCAUCUAAACA